CAGUAUUCAUGCCUGGAGAAUCCCAUGAACAGAGGAGCCUGGCAGGCAAGACUCCACAGGGUAGCAAAAAGGGGUGACCCUUCCCUCUCCCAGGAAGACAGUCCAAGGUGGAGUUGGUUGCCAGCCGUGCUGCAUCCCUGAAGGCAUCUUUAUACCCUCGCUGGAUGGAGCCAGGACACUAAGCCUCUCAGUCUGCACAGUGAAGAACUGUCUCAUCCUCAAGGCCAACAGGACUCUUCUCCCUUGGAGAAACAUGCUCUUCUUCCAGUGAAGUAACAGAGCAAAUUUGACUUCAUGGAGAAAAACUUUCCAGGUCAAAUCCUCCUUUCCCAUGCUUGCUACUGAGGUGACAGCCGGGAGUUUUGUUCACACCAAACCAUGAACAAGCAGCACACUUUCCAAGUUGUGUUUACCUUUAUAUCUCAUUUUCUCUGUGGAGACGUAUAUUCAUGGCUGGCUAUUUAUUGUG